rnacentral:rRNA from 1 species
GGCACAUUGGGACUGAGACACUGCCCAAACUCCUACGGGAGGCUGCAGUCGAGAAUCUUCCCCAGUGGGCGAAAGCCUGAGGGAGCGACGCCGCGUGUGGGAAUACGCCCUUCGGGGUGUCAACCACUGUCAGGGACCACCAAGCGAUGGGGACAAAUAGUCCCCGGAGUCGAGGAAUCCCAAAGGAAGCCACGGGUAACUUCGUGCCAGCAGCCGCGGUACGACGAAGGUGGCUAGCGUUGUUCGGAAUCAUUGGGCUUAAAGAGCAUGUACGCGGCCCAUUAAGCGUCAUGUGAAAUCCCUCGACUCAACCGAUGAACUGCAUGGCGAACUGGUGGGCUUGAGGCAAGUAGGGGCGUGUGGAACUCUUGGUGGAGCGGUGUGAAUGCGGUAGAUAUCAAGAGGAGCGCCGGUGGCGAAGGCGACACGCUGGGCUUGUCCUGACGCUGAGAUGCGAAAGCCAGGGGAGCGAACGGGAUUAGAUACCCCGGUAGUCCUGGCCCUAAACGAUGUCCACUAGGUCGGAGGUUCUCUGACGGAGUUCCGGCCGAAACAAAAGCGUUAAGUGGACCGCCUGGGGAGUACGGUCGCAAGGCUAAAACUCAAAGGAAUUGACGGGGGCUCACACAAGCGGUGGAGCAUGUUGCUUAAUUCGAUGCAACGCGAAGAACCUUAUCCUGGGCUUGACAUGUACGGAUGCCUACUGGGAAACCAGGUCGGCUGCCAUUCGGGGUGAAACGUACACAGGUGCUGCAUGGCUGUCGUCAGCUCGUGUCGUGAGAUGUUGGGUUAAGUCCCGUAACGAGCGAAACCAUUGUCGCUAGUUGCCAGCGGUUCGGCCGGGGACUCUAGCGAGACUGCCGGUGUUAAACCGGAGGAAGGUGGGGAUGACGUCAAGUCCUCAUGGCCUUUAUGCCCAGGGCUGCAAACGUGCUACAAUGACCGGAACAAACCGACGCGAGACCGCGAGGUGGAGCAAAAUCGGAAAAAUCCGGCCCCAGUUCGGAUUGCAGUCUGCAACUCGACUGCAUGAAGUUGGAAUCGCUAGUAAUCGCGUAUCAGCCACGACGCAGUGAAUGUGUUCCUGAGCCUUGUACACACCGCCCGUCAAGUCAUGGAAGCUGGUAGCACCCG